UAUGUACUCUCUCCGUCCGGAAUUACUUGUCGCAUUAAUUUAUAAAAAUGGAUGUAUCUAAAAUUAAAGUACAUCUAGAUGCACUCAUUUAUAUGACAAGUAUUUUCUAAUGGAGGGAGUAAUAU
rfam:Hordeum vulgare subsp. vulgare, WGS project CAJW01000000 data, contig: morex_contig_1572881